AGUAGGAUGCGGGUGAGCACGGUUCGGAAUUAUGUGUAUACCUUUUCCCAUUUGGAGUGAAUUUUGCGUGCAAACGUGUAUUGGAUGUCCUCCUAUACCCACGUCCGUCCUAUCCGUCUUUUGUCAUGGUUGGCCUAAUCUUCGUAUUUCACGUCAAAAAUGUAUCAUGCUAAGCAGUGAGCACUCGGGAGUGUCGUACAAAGUGAUCAAUCGUGAGUCAAUUAUUGCUAAAUAAGUGUGUGCUGGAACAACGACGGACUCAACGAUUCCGACGGCCGGACGGCUGCAUUGUUGCCAGAAUGCCCAGCAUCAAGUAAUCUUGUAACACACAUCAGUUGUAAAUGGAGGGUGGAAAAGAAGAGGGAAUUCUUACAAUGCGCGUCGACUUGUCACAAAAGGAGGACACAUCGAGCUUUCGCGCGGUUGGUAAAUAAACUUUGUGCGCGUAAUCGGUGCUACGCAAUAUAUUCGUUUCGUCGUAACAUAACAAAAUACGCGUCGGGAGUGUCGUUUAAAGUGUCGUGCGAUUCUCGUAUUCGGGUACGCACGCGAGCAAUGCGUGCGCCGCGGACGCGUGUGAGUGUCUUAAAGGAUCGCUCAGAAGAGGAGAAAGUCUAGGAGGCGUCGGACGACAGCAGAGCAACGACGGUAAUGAUCAUUGGAUUUCAUCAACAUUGUUCAUUCUUAGUGAGGAGACGGCCUUUCUACUAUCGGCAGUGGAAUCACGCGAACUCGCAGCAUUCAUGGGAAUAUUUCUGCUAAAGCUGGCAUCAUUUUUAUGG